AUAUGAAUAUGGUCUCUUUCUGUCUCAAAAUCUUAUUUUAUUUCUGCAUUGUCAUUUAAAGGCAACAGUUUACAGCUUCGCUCUCGCACAUCUUAAUUGUCAUCAUCACUACUACUGUGUUUUGGGCCAUCAACUAAAAUAAGGGUUGCCUGACACAAGCCCUGUGAUACUGGGACUUUUUAUGAUAAGCAAGUUGCAGCUAAGUGACUAAGAGGAAGAGAACAGGAUCCGUGACUUUCUCUUGGCUGUCGACCUGCUGGUUUUGAAUCCCUUAUGAAUUUGGGGUCCCUUGCAUUCCUCACCCCUGUAAUGUCCCAAAUACUGGCUCUCGGUCUGUCCGACUGGAUGUCCUCUGGCUGCGCUACUGAGGGGCUCCCGUGUGUGCUGGCGCUCUGCUCCCCAGCCAGUCCUGACAGGGAUUCUACCUCCUGUACCUCCACAUGCUGUGACAGCUUCCCCAAGACGCCCACCCUAGGACCAGAGUUGCUAGGACCCACUACGCCAAAAAAGCAACCAGUAACAUGUGAAAUAGAUUGGUAUCUCAUUCAGAAGUCCUUGCCACAAUGUUUGUACACCCAUCUCGUAGCCAUGCGUACAGCUCUCCCAGAAAAAGUUUCCAGGACAAGGCAGUGCCUCAACUGUAGCAGUGAUUGCUCUGGGUUGCAGAUGAGAACUGAUGAAGUUUCAAGAGUGAUGGCAGUGCAAACAAAAAGGAGAGAUGUUUAAACACUAAAAAUAGAAGAUCCAGAAACU
rnacentral:lncRNA from 1 species